rnacentral:rRNA from 1 species
GAUGAACGCUGGCGGCGUGCCUAAUACAUGCAAGUCGAGCGAACAGAUAAGGAGCUUGCUCCUUUGACGUUAGCGGCGGACGGGUGAGUAACACGUGGGUAACCUACCUAUAAGACUGGGAUAACUUCGGGAAACCGGAGCUAAUACCGGAUAAUAUUUCGAACCGCAUGGUUCGAUAGUGAAAGAUGGUUUUGCUAUCACUUAUAGAUGGACCCGCGCCGUAUUAGCUAGUUGGUAAGGUAACGGCUUACCAAGGCGACGAUACGUAGCCGACCUGAGAGGGUGAUCGGCCACACUGGAACUGAGACACGGUCCAGACUCCUACGGGAGGCAGCAGUAGGGAAUCUUCCGCAAUGGGGGAAAGCCUGACGGAGCAACGCCGCGUGAGUGAUGAAGGUCUUCGGAUCGUAAAACUCUGUUAUUAGGGAAGAACAUACGUGUAAGUAACUGUGCACGUCUUGACGGUACCUAAUCAGAAAGCCACGGCUAACUACGUG